rnacentral:lncRNA from 1 species
AAGAAAAAUUUGUUCAGCAUAUGAGUGGUAGAUACGACCAAAGCUACAUCUCUCAGCAAGUCAGUGCUCCAGCUUAAGCAACAAGAAAAAAAAAAGCUCUAUAUAGAACUGUGACAAACAUAGUUACUGCAUGGAACUAAGAAAAUGAUGUUUGUAGCGUGUAGAAGCUAGAAAAGAAAGAUGAAAUCAAUUUAAACUUUUUCAAAACCAAUAGCUAGACUGAGACUGUUCAGUCCUGAAUAUAUAUGUGUACAUAUGUGUAUGUACACAUAUAUACAAACAUUGGGUUCUCAUUUUGUUUUGGAAAGGUGAAGCUGGUCACCCCCAGAGUUAAUGGGAAAAUAUGUGGGAUUAGAAAUUGUGCCCCAGUAUUCUGGGACUCCUGCCCAAGCCACAGUGAUGGCUUUUCCCCUCUUAUGAUUGCUGCUGUACUGAAAUUUACCAUCAGUCAGCCAUAGAACAGAGCAACUCCCAAGGUUCCAGCUACUACAGUGACUCAUUUGGUGUGUCAUCAUUCCCUGGAGAAUGGAGGUACCACAUCAAAUCAUGGCCCAUCCUAAAGUCUAGUGCCACUGAAAUUUACAGCCACAGAACUGAAUUAAUCAAGAGGAACAACAACAACAAGAGUUCUCUUCCAAAAUGAUAGCUUUUUUGUAGCUCUGAAAUGAGAGGAACCCAAUCCAGAAGAAUCCACAGAAGGAGGAAAAGCCAGCAGAAAGGCAGCAGAUUAGACACAAAAUUGUAAUUGUUAGUACGCAACUGAUAAAUACAAAAGGGCGAAGAGAAUGUCAAUCCAGAAUGAUGCAAAUCCCUUCAUUAUUACUCUCGGUAUACGUCGUUACUUUAAGAUGUUAAAAAAGAGUAAACCAAAAAGCUUCACGUUCAUUUUACAGAAAAGAUUCUCAAGAGAUUUAAAUAGAAAAAAUGGAUAGUAAUUCAUCCCAAAUUAAUUUUCAACUUUCAAAUUUUAGCCUCCAUACUCCUCUUUAAGGCUACCUGGGGGUCUAUCAUGUUACAGCAGUGAAGCUGGAUGCUAAGUUGUUACGACGCCUGUUGGACCCUGCUUAAAAAGUUUGGUCCAGAAAAUAUAGUCCUGGAGGCAUGAAAAAUAGCAGAAAAACUGUAAUAUUAAUUCAUGUGGAAAAUAAUAUGGGGAAAGAGUAGAAGAGAUUAGAGAAGUUCAUAGAAAGUACCCAAGUCUCUUUAACUGCUACUUUCAACAUCUUUUUGCCAAAGUUGCUGAGUAGAAAUUAUGGAAUGAUAGGAGUUGUUUCUCUUCCUGUUUUAUAGUUAAAGGACUGCUAAUGAUCAGCAAAUAGCCAAAGGCAGAGGAGUCAAUCCAAGAUCUCUUCGGUUCUUUCCUAAUCAGAUUUACACAAUGCUGGGCAUGGAUAAUUUAGGGAGACCUGAAACUCAGAGCUCAAAUCUAUCGCCUUCCAGAUGCUGAGAAGAGAAACAUCUGAUGUCAGCUUCCUCUCUGUUCCUAACAUCUUCAGUUCCCCAAACAGACUUUGUUAACAGUUAUCAUACAGCUAUGAUUUUAAUGCCGUGAGAUAUUAUAUUAAAAUGUAAUUUUAUGCUUUAACUUUGCUCUGCCCAGUUUAAGAGUACCAAGUAUGUAUCAGGCACUCUGUACUGUGUUGGAUGUUAGAUGUUUCUCCCAUAAAUUUGGAUAUGACCCCUUCCUUUGAGAUACUUUUAGUUUAGUCUACCAGUAACCCAGUCACAAUGGCAACUUUAUAAGCAGCAAUUAAACCAACUAAUUUCUUUCUGAAAACUCAAGAAUCUUGCUUUGUGGUAAUGUAUCUGUCAAAAACAUUUGAUUGAGUAGAAAUAGACCAUGACUGUGGAAAAAUGCAGUGAAAAACGUAUGUACAAAUAAAUAUGUUCUCAUGAUUCAUUAAUAUGAUCAUAUAAAUGUAGACCCUAAUCAUAUUAUCUUUGAAACUUUUGUGGUAAAAGGGUUGCUAAGUCAACUUAACAGUAAAAUCAGUUGCAGAGUGAUCAUUGGUAAACUUAAGAAAAACUUCCAAUAAUGGCAUUCCUUUGUGAAGUAACUAUUUUUAUGACAAUUGUUCAUAUCAAAUUGACUAAAAUAGAUUUGGAUCCAUACUGGAAAUACCCUUCAUUUAGAAAAUGUCUAAAAUGAUAAAUGUGUAAUAGCUCUGAAAUAAUCUACAUUUCAAAUUUUUCAUUUUUUAAAAUAAAUAAUCUCUUUUAAUUCCCAAAUAGCGAAUUCUUCCACACUGCCCUGUUUUAUUAAACAAUAGUGGUCAAAAAUUAUUAUGCAUAAUUAAAUAAUUCCAAAAAAACUUGCUCUAAAAAAUGUACUGCUCACCAACUGUAUUACAGAUUUAAGAAUGAUGAGCAUGUUAAGGUUUCUUGGAGUUGCUCUCAUUUUGUGGAACGGUAAUGUAGUAUUCUUUGUAUUACAAAAAAAUAAAUAAAAAAUCUCUUGAGAGGAGGGUAGCUGGUGAUAAAUGCUCUGAGUUUUCUUCCCUGGUGGUUGUGGUGUGGUAGCAGGAUAGAGCUACUUGUUCUAAUGUAGCACUCCUUUGAUUAUUUAGCCAAAACCUUUGUGUUAAGCACCAACUUUGUGAAACUUACCGGACCAGGAUUAGGGAUGGAGGAGAAGCACAAGCCACAGGGCAUACAGUCAAGUUACAACACAAUCAUGGAGAUGAGACUUAUGCAGAGGGGACAAUAGGGAGCAUGGCAAAACUGUAUGUUGUGUAUGAAAGAGACUAAGUAUUGUUGGAGUUUGGGGAACCAUUAGUGCAGACUGGUAUGGUUGAUGGCAGUGUUAUGAAGGAGCAAGAACUUGACUGGGUGUUGUAGCAGGAAGGCUGGGGAACAGUCGGAGCAGACAUAGGGCUGGGUUGUUUUUCCUGAUGCAUGUGGGUGCAGAGAUGACACUGGCCAAAUCAAGUACCAAAUCUGUAUUAGGAAACACUGGGAGAGUGGAGUGAUCAGAAGAAAAGGGUGAGUUGUAUAACCAUGGCCUUUAAAGCCUAGAGGAGAAUGUGUACCUCCCACAGUACACGUGAACGACUGACCAGGAGAGAGGCAGGCAGACUAGUUAGGAGGCUGCUGCCAAGUCAGAUGAUGAGGCCUGGGCAGUGAUGUCCUGUGUGAAAAAGAGCAUGGGCAUUAGCAGAAGCAGCUGGGAUGAGCCUACAUCCUGACUGGGCUCAGAGUCUCAUCCUGUGUGAAGCUAAUUGGAUCCCAUGGGCAUUAAAUCCCUGACCAGGGCCUCAUUAGUACAAGUUCUCCUCACCAGAGCUAACCAGUGUGGGUGCUGAUCUUAAUAGGUUGCUAUUUUUGCUGCUGGAGACUGAAAGAAGUAUUUAGUCUCUAUGUUACCACACAUAGAAAUAGGGAAAACUUUACAAUGCCUUUUCUACCUUUUCUUUUGGUAAAACAUGAGUAGUUUGAGAAAAUGUCAUGCUGUUCACAUUUUUCUCUCCUUCAUUAUGUAUUAAAUGAUCUGGCCUUGGGGCUGUGGGGUCUGAGAUGAAUGCUCUUAAGAGGAUCAAUUUCAGAAGAAUCCCAUGAAAUAAUAGAUAUCCCUUGUUCACAUCUUAACUGAGCCUAUUCAGAUCCGAAUGUGUAAAAACCUGAAAACAUCCAAAUGGAUUUCUUUAAAUGCUAACUUUUAGUUCAGACAUUUGCCAUCCUGCAGAUAAUGCUGCUAGGUCUAUAAAACUCACAGUAAAGUGAAAAUGUGGCAAUUAUUCCAUUCAUUUGAAUCAUAAAAAGUCAAAACAGAAAAUUGGGAUUACAAAGUAAUUUUGUGGCCCAAAUACUUGGGCCAAGUCUUUAAUUAACUGGCCAACUGCCAAAUUUCACUUUACUUUGUUCUUUGAUGACACAGCCAAUGAGAAGAAAUGAGUCAUAAGAAAAUAGGUUUGGGAUGGGACAGAGAAUUAUUUUUUGAAAUUAAUCAUUUAGUCAUUGGGUUUGACUGGGUAUUUCUGACUUAAUUUGAAUCUUAUUCAGAAUGUAAUUGUUUGAUCAAAUUUUAAUUUGCUUUAGAAAGAAUACAUACAUCAAUGUUAAGUAUGAAAGUACCUGAUUUUUAAAAACAGUAUUUUAAAAUGGUCCAAUCAAAUUUUGAUUUGAACUUAACUGAUCACCUUCACAGCAUGAGGCAUUUAGGAGUUUACAUAGCAGGUGAGAAUUGCCUAUUGAUAUUGCAGUCUGAGCAAUUCCCAGCUACAUAUGCAUGAGAAGGAAGGACAAGGAACAGUUGCAUGGGGUCAGGAUGACUGUGCUAUCUCCCAGACUUUAGCCAUCUAGGAAGGGAACUAUAAAAAGCAUGUGAUGACACUAGUUCUAGCUCCAGAAGGGAAGUGUUUGCAAUAUAAAUGGGUCUCAUGAGACAACAACUUCGAAAAGGUAGUAAAUAUCGCAACAUAAGGGUAAAUAACAAUAGGAUCAAGAGGAGCUGUUAACAGACUCACUGAAGCACAUGGUGAGAAAGGUGGGGACAAAAUGGUGCUGUGUCAGUCAAGAAAUCAAGGGCUCUUUUGCCUUGGGAAAAAAUGAGGCAGCAAAGCAAGCUGCACCCAUGCUAAACAAAUUAGCACAGAAUGGUGCUUAAGAAUGUAGACUUUGGUGCAAGGUUAUCAGAGCUCAAAUCUUGGCUCUACCACUUACUACUUUUGUCACCUUGGACACAUGUUAAUUUCAAUUUCUCCUUCUGUAAAAUGGUGGUGAUUACAGUCAACACCUCACAGAGUUGUUACACUGCUUAAAUUAGUAAAUACAUAUAUAUGAGACAUAUGUGUAUGUGUGCUCCAGAGAUGUUCAUUAAAUACAGAAAUAAAUAAUAAAUUGCCCUGAAUCAGGCAAAAGGCAAGGAACUGCAGGCAUUGCCCAAUAACACUUUUUUGACCAACUGAUGCCUGCAUAGCUGUACCUGCUCAAUAAUGUAUAUAGUUAAAAAUAUGUUCUCUGGCCGGGCGCGGUGGCUCACACCUGUAAUCCCAGCACUUUGGGAGGCCGAGACAGGUGGAUC